GGAUGUAAGGGUGGGUAAGCCAUCUGGCUGGAACCGCUCUCAGCCACUGAUCAUCAAGGCCGAUCUGGCUCACAUGGCUGGCUAGAUGAUGUCCCCUCCCCUCUCAUGGAUCCAUAUAUAUUAUUCAUCAAAGCUGUACGUUCAAAGAGAAUGACCUUCCCAGGUAAAAAGAGGGCAUUUCUUUGGUUACAGGUGAACUAGGGCUUGUACUCCUGCUAGAAGCUCCAGACAAGCUCUCAAGGCCAUACACACACUGCAGAGUUUAGGCUUAUCUGUGCUCAUUUAGUCAACUUCCACU
rnacentral:snRNA from 1 species